AUUGAACGCUGGCGGCAGGCCUAACACAUGCAAGUCGAACGGUAACAGGAAGAAGCUUGCUUCUUUGCUGACGAGUGGCGGACGGGUGAGUAAUGUCUGGGAAACUGCCUGAUGGAGGGGGAUAACUACUGGAAACGGUAGCUAAUACCGCAUAACGUCGCAAGACCAAAGAGGGGGACCUUCGGGCCUCUUGCCAUCGGAUGUGCCCAGAUGGGAUUAGCUAGUAGGUGGGGUAACGGCUCACCUAGGCGACGAUCCCUAGCUGGUCUGAGAGGAUGACACGCCACACUGGAACUGAGACACGGUCCAGACUCCUACGGGAGGCAGCAGUGGGGAAUAUUGCACAAUGGGCGCAAGCCUGAUGCAGCCAUGCCGCGUGUAUGAAGAAGGCCUUCGGGUUGUAAAGUACUUUCAGCGGGGAGGAAGGGAGUAAAGUUAAUACCUUGGCUCAUUGACGUUACCCGCAGAAGAAGCACCGGCUAACUCCGUG
rnacentral:rRNA from 1 species